rnacentral:rRNA from 1 species
GACGAACGCUGGCGGCGUGCUUAACACAUGCAAGUCGAGCGGAGCGGCGAACGGGUGAGUAACGCGUGAGUAACUGCCCCCCUCUCUGGGAUAACAGUUGGAAACGGCAGCUAAUACAGGAUAGUGGGGGAUGACUCGCGGCUGAUCAGCUUGUUGGUCGGGUAGUGGCCGAACACGGCGACGACGCGUAGCCGGCCGUGGAGGGCGACCGGCCAAAUUGGGAUGAGAUACGGCCCAAACUGCUACUGGAGGCAGUAGGGGGGAAUAUUGAACAAUGGUGGAACCCCUCAUGCAGCAACGCUGGUUUGGGAUGAAGGCCUCCGGGUUGUAAACCGCUUUCAGCCAUGACGCGGUAGUGGCAGAAGAAGCACCGGCUAACUACGUGCCAGCAGCCGCGGUAAUAC